rnacentral:rRNA from 1 species
GAUGAACGCUGGCGGCGUGCCUAACACAUGCAAGUCGAGCGAUCUCUUCGGAGAGAGCGGCGGACGGGUGAGUAACGCGUGGGUAACCUGCCCUGUACACACGGAUAACAUACCGAAAGGUAUGCUAAUACGGGAUAAAAUAUGAAAGUCACAUGACUUUUGUAUCAAAGAUUUAUCGGUACAGGAUGGACCCGCGUCUGAUUAGCUAGUUGGUAAGGUAAUGGCUUACCGAGGCGACGAUCAGUAGCCGACCUGAGAGGGUGAUCGGCCACACUGGAACUGAGACACGGUCCAGACUCCUACGGGAGGCAGCAGUGGGGAAUAUUGCACGAUGGGCGAAAGCCUGAUGCAGCAACGCCGCGUGAGCGAUGAAGGCCUUCGGGUCGUAAAGCUCUGUCCUCAAGGAAGAAAAAAAUGACGGUACCUGACUAAGAAGCCCCGGCUAACUACGUGCCAGCCGCCGCCGUAACAC